UUGAACGCUGGCGGCAGGCCUAACACAUGCAAGUCGAGCGGUAACACAGGGAGCUUGCUCCCGGGUGACGAGCGGCGGACGGGUGAGUAAUGUCUGGGAAACUGCCUGAUGGAGGGGGAUAACUACUGGAAACGGUAGCUAAUACCGCAUAACGUCGCAAGACCAAAGAGGGGGACCUUCGGGCCUCUUGCCAUCAGAUGUGCCCAGAUGGGAUUAGCUAGUAGGUGGGGUAACGGCUCACCUAGGCGACGAUCCCUAGCUGGUCUGAGAGGAUGACCAGCCACACUGGAACUGAGACACGGUCCAGACUCCUACGGGAGGCAGCAGUGGGGAAUAUUGCACAAUGGGCGCAAGCCUGAUGCAGCCAUGCCGCGUGUAUGAAGAAGGCCUUCGGGUUGUAAAGUACUUUCAGCGGGGAGGAAGGUGUUGAGGUUAAUAACCUCAGCAAUUGACGUUACCCGCAGAAGAAGCACCGGCUAACUCCGUGCCAGCAGCCGCGGUAAUACGGAGGGUGCAAGCGUUAAUCGGAAUUACUGGGCGUAAAGCGCACGCAGGCGGUCUGUCAAGUCGGAUGUGAAAUCCCCGGGCUCAACCUGGGAACUGCAUUCGAAACUGGCAGGCUAGAGUCUUGUAGAGGGGGGUAGAAUUCCAGGUGUAGCGGUGAAAUGCGUAGAGAUCUGGAGGAAUACCGGUGGCGAAGGCGGCCCCCUGGACAAAGACUGACGCUCAGGUGCGAAAGCGUGGGGAGCAAACAGGAUUAGAUACCCUGGUAGUCCACGCCGUAAACGAUGAUUACUAGGUGUUGGAGGAUUGACCCCUUCAGUGCCGCAGUUAACACAAUAAGUAAUCCACCUGGGGAGUACGACCGCAAGGUUGAAACUCAAAGGAAUUGACGGGGGCCCGCACAAGCGGUGGAGCAUGUGGUUUAAUUCGAUGCAACGCGAAGAACCUUACCUACUCUUGACAUCCAGAGAACUUUCCAGAGAUGGAUUGGUGCCUUCGGGAACUCUGAGACAGGUGCUGCAUGGCUGUCGUCAGCUCGUGUUGUGAAAUGUUGGGUUAAGUCCCGCAACGAGCGCAACCCUUAUCCUUUGUUGCCAGCGGUCCGGCCGGGAACUCAAAGGAGACUGCCAGUGAUAAACUGGAGGAAGGUGGGGAUGACGUCAAGUCAUCAUGGCCCUUACGAGUAGGGCUACACACGUGCUACAAUGGCGCAUACAAAGAGAAGCGACCUCGCGAGAGCAAGCGGACCUCAUAAAGUGCGUCGUAGUCCGGAUUGGAGUCUGCAACUCGACUCCAUGAAGUCGGAAUCGCUAGUAAUCGUAGAUCAGAAUGCUACGGUGAAUACGUUCCCGGGCCUUGUACACACCGCCCGUCACACCAUGGGAGUGGGUUGCAAAAGAAGUAGGUAGCUUAACCUUCGGGAGGGCGCUUACCACUUUGUGAUUCAUGACUGGGGUG
rnacentral:rRNA from 1 species